AGAUUGAACGCUGGCGGCAUGCCUUACACAUGCAAGUCGAACGGCAGCACGGGGGCAACCCUGGUGGCGAGUGGCGAACGGGUGAGUAAUGCAUCGGAACGUGCCCAGUAGUGGGGGAUAACUAGUCGAAAGAUUAGCUAAUACCGCAUACGACUACGGGUGAAAGCGGAGGACCUUCGGGCUUCGCGCAGAUAGAUGAGCCGACGUCGGAUUAGCUAGGUUGGACGGGGUAAAGCCCACCGAAGGCGACGAGUCCGUAGCGUGGUCUGGAGAGGAUGAUCACGCCACUACUAGGAACUGAGACACGGUCCAGACUCCUACGGGAGGCACGACGAGUGGGGAAUAGUUAGGAC
rnacentral:rRNA from 1 species